rnacentral:miRNA from 1 species
AAAUAGAAAUAAGAAGCAAGAAAGAGGGGAGAAACCGGAGAAGAAGCAGAAAUUCAUGGGGGAGAGGGGGAGGAAAAGAAAGGAGAAGCCUUCUUCUCCGGUUUCUCCCCCCCAUUCUCUCCGGUUCUCCCCUCUUUCUUGCUUCUUCUUUCUAUUUUUUA